rnacentral:lncRNA from 1 species
UGGUGAAACGAGUAGGAAAAUUUUUGUUUUCUGCGACGUUCCCCAACAAUAGUACAACAGAUGAUUGGAGAUAAAUUCGACGUCUAUAAUCAAAUUUUCAAAACAAGCAUAAAUUGCACAGAACACCACUCAAAUGGUCAGGAGGAAAAACGCGCAUCUUCUGUUCCUUUGAAUGGGCUCCAGCGUCACUGGGGCAACAACCUCUACAUCUUCGGCAUCCUUCCCCAGUCUGCAACAAUAAAUAAAAAUAUUAGGCAGAAAUAUGCAACUGGCCUGAUAUCCGUAUAGUGACUGCCGCCAUCGUGGUGCAGGUGCUCGACCUGAAUUAGUGAGAGCUAACUGCUGAAUCUUCACGGCGAUUACAGCCUUGUGAGCGCUCCCAUGAAUUAGAGAGAACCACUCCCUGCGCGGAUUACAACCAUUUUCUUUUAUCUAUGUGAGAAUGCUUGCACUUCCAAUACUAAUCACAAACAGCUACAUGCCUUGGCGAUCGGCCGAUCUAGAUAAACUGAAGAAAAAGGAAAAAGGUAUCUCAUUCUCAUCCAUCUACCUACCUACAUGUAGUUCUGAACUUAGCCUCCGUGGUGAGCUUCUCCUGCUCGCUGGCCAGAGGCUGCCCGUGCUCGGUCGCCUUGCUGGGGGUCGCCGAGUUUGUGCUUGAAGGCAUCUCUAACUCCGAUAGUUAGUGUAUGGAAACUACUCAGAAAUUGCAGCUCGGUGAGGUCGGCAGGACUGUGAAGGAAGCUGCUAGCUUAGAUGUAAUUUCAGACGUAGUAACACACUCACAGUACCACCGGGGCAGCUAACAAUUGAUCCGGUGUCUGAACCACACAAAUUUAUCUUCUUACUCAUCGCAUGAAUACACUCCCCCGCUUCUCUUCUGAAAUCGUGAGCAGGCAAUGGUUUGUUUGGGGAUUACCUUGAUCAUCGUAGAGCUUCCAGUGAAGAUGGCGGCGACAGUCGGGGGCGCAUCGAAGGGGCUCGAAGGGAGAGAUGGACGCGUGCGAACGCUUCAUUCUCGGCUCCGGCCCUGGCCUGCUACGGAAGGCGCCGAGGCGGACGGGAGACGCUGGUUCGGGAGAAGCGCGAGGAUGAUGAGGGCUGGAGGGGCGGCAGAGCAGGGCGAGGGGAAGUCCACCCGCGUCCUACGCUCGUCGUUGGCACGGCUGCCUCCGCGGCAUCCUCCACCUAGCGACGGGAUGGGGGGUCUGUGCCAAUGGCGUGGGGGCGGUGACGGGAUCUGAGGGCCUCAUUCUCGCCCACAUAACCGGAGGAGUUAGCGAGGAAGAUGCGGCGUGCGUGGGGCGUGGACGAAGG